ACAAUGACUUCACCAAACCAGAUGGCACUGUGGCAGGAAAUAGCAAUGACUUUGGGAACAGCUGGCAGACCGAAGAGGAUGAAGAUGACUCAUGUACCCCGGGAACAAAGCCUGAUCCAGACUGUGACCCCAACUUGGAAACUGAAGUUGUAAAACCAGAGAAAUGUGGUAAAAUUACAGACCCUACUGGACCCUUCCGGGAGUGCAUCAGUGUAGUUAAUCC